rnacentral:siRNA from 1 species
UUGGUCUGUCUAGAGGAUUGA